GCCAAGGAAUUACGAGCUCAAGCUUAAAACCAAAGGACUUGACGGUGUCCCAUCCACCUAGAGGAGCCUGUUCUACAAUCGAUUCUCCCCGGUAAACCCUACCAUCUCUUGAAUAUCAGCCUGUAUACCUCCGUCGCAAGCUUACCAUGUGAACGCGCUCAGUGAGCUUAAAGGUUAACAACCAAAACGCCAGGUCAAGGUGCAGCCUACGAGGUGGAAAGAAAUGGGCUACAAUCUCUAUUAUAGAACAAACGGAAAACUGCAUGAAACACAGUAAUUGAAGGCGGAUUUAGUAGUAAGAAGAAAAUAGAGAGUUCUUCUUAAUAAGGCACUGGGACGCGUACACACCGCCCGUCACCCUCUUCAAUCCACACACAAUGUUACUAACACUAUGUAAGUUCCCACAGAAGAGGCAAGUCGUAACACGGUAAGCGUACUGGAAAGUGUGCUUGGAAUAACAAAAUGUAGCUUAAUAAAAGCGUCCUGCUUACACCAAGAAUAUGUCCGUGCAAUCCAGACCAUUUUGAGCCUAAAACCCAGCCCCCUGACCCGCAUGAGUUAAUUAUAUAAAUAAAACCAAAUAAAACAUUUUAUAAACCAAGUAAAGGCGAUUAAAAAGUAUCUAGGAG
rnacentral:rRNA from 1 species